CCGGCGUGCUCUCUUGGGGCGACGCGUCGCGGUGCUCCGGUUCCGCCAAAUGACGGGAGAGGGCCAGGCGUGGAUUGGCGUAGCCAAGAGCCACGAGUUCGUCGGCGCCGGCCUCCGGAGCUGGCCUUGGCGGGCUGAAGCGUCGCGGCGGAGGGCGAUAAGGCGGCCGGCUUGCUCUCUUGGGGCGAAGCGCCGCGGCGCUCCGGCUCCGGCAGAGGGCCAGGCGUGGCUUGGCGUCGCCAAGAGCCACGAGGUCGUCGGCGCCGGCCUCCGCGCCAUGCUGGACAAGCUGUUGCUGCCUCCCUGCGCCGCCCAGCUUCAGUUCUCUGAAUCCUUAAUUUCGUGUGGUGAUUUGGACGGAAUUAAAGACCGCGUCCUUCUCCAACACAAAUCAAUGUCCAAUGUAAUCGAGUUGGAGUCUGUGUUCCUCUCUGACACAAAAGCAUGUACUGCCCGACACGGAUUGGACUUGGCUUCCAUAAGAAGGAAGGAUCCUCGACCGGAACGUCCAUUAGGCUGCCAUUGCAUUGCAACUUUCAGAGGAACGCCCAAUGUUGCCGGCGGAGGAAAAUCAUCCUUUGAGCCAUACUAUGCCGAGUUCGCCGGCAGAAGAAGAACACCCGAUGAGCUGUCCAUCGCCUGAGGCGGCUACACCAGAGGUGCCAACGGUGUCUGAUCAAACUCAGGUGGAACCAAGGAGGUUCGGCUCUCGGACAUUGCACCAAUGACGCUGGAUGAUACCGACGUGCAUACUGUUGCAAUCACGAACGAGCAGCAAAUUUUGCACUGAACUACUGGCAUAAGGCAGUGAAAUACUUUUUGCUCACGUCUGUGGAAGUUUGGAACAUAAGAAGAACAGAUAACAAAGUAUCACAUGCUUAUAGGAAUGACUCAAUAUUCUCAUGGCAGAAUGAGGAUGGGGUAUUCUGUGAUCCAACAUAUGUUCUACCAUCAGGGCUGAUGGCAUUCUUUGGCACUGCUAAGCCGCUUGAUAAAUUAUGGCAUGAGAUGGGCCUUGGAUAUAAUCCAAGCAUCAGCCCUUGGUGAUCUGUGGUGAUGCAGUGACGCACCUUACUGGAAAUAUGAACCAUAGCUUGAUGUUGCUUUCAACCUAUACAAGGCUAUGUGGAGAAAGUAUGUAGAGAUUGAAAUGGAAUUCUUGACACUAUGUAGCUUUGGUUUCUCAAGUAAUUAAAGAAAUGCUCCAAGAAUAA